ACAGCAGACUUUUUCCUUAUUCCGUUUCUUCAUUCUGUCUGCUUUGUGCGUUUGUGAGGAAAACCAUCUGUAACCCUACCGGCGACAGCAGCGGCCGAACCCCCGUCACAGGAUGCUAGCCAAAAUACAGAUUACCCGUCUUCAACUGAAACUGCUGGCAAUAAUGAUGACCAAACAUUGUUAGUAGAACAAGAACAUGACGAUCAAGAUCCUACCGCUGAGACAGGUGAGGGAGAUGCCAGGGAGAAAGCGAAUACACACCGUGCCAAUAUGGACAGCUGAAAAA